UUAAAUAACAUGAACUUUAUUUAAAGAGGAGAAAUUACAGCCCAGACAUGUCUUGGUCUUCAGCAGUGGAGUUUUGUUGAACAGUUGUUAAUGCAUUAUAAUCUGCAGAGACUCAUAGUGGGAUGAAUAUAAAAUGAACAGAAACUUCUGAAAUGUGUGUGUGUGUGUGUGUGUGUGUGUGUGUGUGUGUGUCCAUACUGAUGGCAUUAAAUGAACAUUAUAACUGAUUAUGUACAGAAACGUUUCCUGAUGUUCAUCCAGCUUUACUCUGUAGAGCAGAGGCCUCCAGUCCAUCCUACAGCUUCUAGAUGCAUCUCGGCUCCAAAACGUCUGAAUUCCCUCAGCAGCGUUCAUUCAGCUCUGCAACAGGCCGGUAACGAACGCUUCACUUGACCCAGGUGUGUGAGCAGAUAUGCAGCUGGAGGCCAUGAGAACUGCCUCUCUGCUUUUAAACCAAAUAUUAAUAAUUGAUCAUCAUGAGGCGUAACAGUUGGAACCGACUGAUGAUUUAUUAAAUAUUCUGACUAAAACCUAAGUCACUUCUAUACUGGUUAUACUGGUUGGUUUUAGGUAAACUAUAACAUUUAAAAGCCAAAAACCAUGGGUUAAUUAACAGCUAAAUAAAGCAAUAUGGGUUUAUUAUGUGAAUUUUCCACUGCAUCAUAUUUAAAUAUUUAGUUUUAGUGGCUGAUAAGCUGGGUGUCCAGCACCAUGGACAGCAGCAGCAGAGGUCAGGGGUCAAACAGGAAGUUCAUGUUGUCUGGAGAACUGAAGCGAUCUCAGACAUUUACUGAGGAAAUAUUUAGUAACUUUUGACUUAAUUCAUCUAGAAAUGAACUGCAGUUUAGUCAAAUAUUUGAUAAGAUUUAUCUACAAACUGACUAGAGAACGAUUAAGCAGAAGAAGAACAAGAUAAAGAUUUGGUGAUAUUUAAUAAAAAAAUAUAAAUCACUUCAAUUUGGAGAAUCUUUAAUGUAACGGAUGGUUUCUCUGUCAGAGCGCAGCAGGAUCAGCAGGACACCGAGGACUGAUGGCCGACCCGUUUUAAAAUGUUCUGGCCGUUGUUGGAUCUGAACCAAGCAUCAUCUUCCUCUGGGCACAAGAUAAUCAGUCCAGUUAUCAGCAAGACUUCACCUCUGAGUAAAAAUAUUCUGCAUCAACCUUACAGAAAUCACCAAGUUUCAGACAAUGAAAAACUUCAUGAGUUUAAUAUUUCUUAAAUUAUUCACUGUUUAAAAGAAACAAAGAAAGCAGCUGAAGCUGUGAGGAAGAGGAGGAAGAGGAGGAAGAGGAGGAGCUGAUCUGUUCCUGAUCUCUAAGAGACUCAAACUUCCUCCUUCAGUUCAGUUCAACUCUCCAACAUUAACUCUGCUCAACAUGGACUAUUAUGGUCUGUCUCUGCUGGUCGCCUCCCUGCUAACAGCAGUCACCUGUGAAGAACUGAAUCCAGUCAAACAUGCAGAAUCCAGACCAGAAAGCAGCAAAGUUACUCUGUCCUACAAUUACUCCAAACCAGCAGUUGGAACUGAUUACUUCUUCUGGUAUCAUCAAUAUCCUGGAAAACCUCCAGAGUUCCUGAUCUCACACACCGGAAAUGGAGCAAAACUCCUGAAUCCGGUUCCUGGUUUCUCCUUCAGCGUGAGUGAAGAUAAAACCCGGAUGGAUCUGCUGAUCUCCUCUGCUGCAGUGACAGACUCUGCUGUGUACUACUGCGCUGUGAGGCCCACAGUGACAGGAAACACCAGAACCCUGUACAAAAACCUGCAGUACUCCACAGCAGCCACUAGAGGGCCUCACUCCCUGUUAAAACACUAAAACCUGCAGUACUCCACAGCAGCCACUAG